AAGAAAAGAAGGGAUGGAAAUGCCCUGAUCAUGACGGAGCAGUCAGCUUCCCUGUCUCACAGAAUGAAGGCUCCAGAUGAACCCAGAGGAAGAAAGAAGUGGAAUGAGGUGGGCAGGCCCGUAUUUGACAGAUGUCCAGCGCAAGGCAUUUAAAAAACCACGUUCCCUAGGCCACACACAAG